UGCACUUUUCAUAUAUCCAUCAAACUGUGUGUCAAGAAAUCACGCGUUUUCUAUAAAAAGGCGUGUGACAAAGUCAAAACCGAUUUCAAUUAAGUUGUACAAGUACAAAUGCUUAAGAAGCAAUUGAAGGAUCAAAAUGCAGAGAUGGACAUAGUUUUUGACAAAAGCUGUAGUUAUUGCAGUUAUUAGAUCUGCAUCGUCUUCACCGGACUAUAAGACAGGAAUCGUUGCCUCGGAAUGUUCACGUGGCAUUUGUUGAAACACAAAUACUUUCAGCGGUGCAACAAAUCGUUGUUGUUCUCCAAAAUUAUCUAAAUUAAACUGCGGAUACCUAAGCAGAUAGGAUUUAAACAGAUAUAUUUGAUAUAAAUUUAAACGACAAAAUUCAUCACUUUAAUCGGAGCUCUGGAAUGAACAACCUGUAAAAAUAUGAACAGAGUUCGCAAUCUUUUAGCGUUUAGGUUUCGUAUCUAAUGAAGAAAAGUCCAAUACAAAAAGUAUUUGAAACCAAUUUCUGAGUUUUACUUGAUGGAAAUAUAUCAUGUUUUUUUAGAACGUCAAUAGUUGUCAGCACAAUGUCUCCUGCCUACUUUAGAAUACAAACAAGGUAGAACUAAGUUUAAUAAAUCUAAGCCCUAAUAAAGCUUUAAAUCGGCACAA